AAGUCGUAACAAGGUUUCCGUAGGUGAACCUGCGGAAGGAUCAUUACCGAGUUAGGGUCUUCCAGGCCCGAUCUCCAACCCUGUGUCUAUAUUACCAUGUUGCUUUGGCGGGCCCGCCCCUCGGGGCCGCCGGAGGCCUCAUCGCCUCUGGCCAGUGCUCGCCAGUAGCCCAACCAAACUAUUUUUAACUGUGUCGUCUGAGUAUACAUUUAAAUCGUUAAAA
rnacentral:misc_RNA from 1 species